AUGAUGCCUAUGAUAGGUUUUAAAUAUUCUUCGAGUAACUAUUAUGAAAAGGAAUUGUCUGAGGCAUUUG